UGACAAGAUAAUUUUUUUCAGCCUCCUGAGGUUGAAACAUACAGUGGGAGAUAUUCAAAGGUGAUUCAAGUAAUGCAGUAAAAUGGUUCAGAAUGUUUUAAUGUUGGUUGCUUUAAGGUACGAUGCUUGUAGACUGUGUUGGUUAGGUUUAACUUGUUGGUACUACCCAUCCCGGGUCCAGGAGCAUUGUCAUCAAUUGACACUAAUUAGCAUAAUGCAACAGACAUAAAUAUUACUAGAAAACGUUGGUUAUAAUCAAUCCUCAAGGUGUUUUUCAAAUAUCUAUUUGAUUAUAUAUCAACCGGGACUGGUGGCUUCUUAGUAGGAAAGAGAGAAACAAUGGCCGCAUUUGUCCUUUACGCACAAAACACUCUGAGAGACUUCAGCUGACCACUGACGCAAUGUUGACGUUCAGGCUAAUUUCUCAAAAUAAAAGCCUGAAACUAUGUAUUGUGACACUAGACACAUUAGGAAAGCCAUAGAAAAAGGAAUCUGGUUGAUACCUCAUUCACUGCUCAAUAGAACGCAGAGCUUCUAAAUAAGAGUCCCUUCCUGAUUGGAUUUUUUUCCGGCUUUCGCCUGCAAUAUCAGUUCUGUUAUACUCACAGACAAUAUUUUUACAGUUUUGGAAACUUUAGAGUGUUUUCUAUCCUAAGCUGUCAAUUAUAUGCAUAUUCUAGAUUCUGGGCCUGAGAAAUAGCCUGUUUACUUUGGGAAUGUUAUUUUUCCAAAAAUUAAAAUAGUGCCCCCUAGUUACAAGAGGUUAAAGGACAAGGCCUUAGGGUCUGUAGGAUGUUGGUAAUGACAUGUUAUAAUGAUGAAAUGGUCUAAUGUUAAAAUGUUAAAAAAUGUUGAAUGUUUAGGAAGUAAUGGGAAGAAAAGGUCUGAGUGGGAUUAUAAUUGAGUAGGGAAUGUUAAUGUUUAGAAAUAAAUGUUUUAAAAGUUAAUGAUAAUGGAGUGUACUCCAUAUUGAUAAUGGAGUGUACUAAGGGUGCUGGCUUGCUUUGGGAAUCCCCCGGUCAGAGCAGCCAGGAGGAGGCAUCCUGUCAAGACGUCCUGCCUAUGUGAGGAAAGAUGGGGGUUAGUGGGUGCUGAAAGAGCACCUUUUGAGUGAUGGCCGCAUUAGGUGUUAACCACUGAGCGUAUCUUUCGAGGAUGUUAGCCACAAUGAGUUAACAGAAAGGAAGAUGGAGGGUAUAAAGGAGGCAUGA
rnacentral:lncRNA from 13 species